rnacentral:lncRNA from 1 species
CGGUUUGGGGUUCCAUAAAGGUUCAUCAACUGCAAGGUUUGAAGAUAUGCAACUUAGCUUCCGUAGCGGAGGGCUCAUUCAUGGAAAUGAACAACACUUAGCUACUGUGCUAGAGGAUGACGAAGAGGAAGACUCCACCAAUUUUGUGACGCAUGGAAAGGCUUGCAACAAUUGGACUGAUGUUGAUAUUCCUGUUAUUUUGCACUGAUCUAAGAAAUUUCUUCUAUAUGUUUUUAAAAAUCCUUCUCCUAUGCCUAAGGGAG